rnacentral:rRNA from 1 species
UACAGAGGGUGCAAGCGUUAAUCGGAAUUACUGGGCGUAAAGCGCGCGUAGGUGGUUCGUUAAGUUGGAUGUGAAAGCCCCGGGCUCAACCUGGGAACUGCAUUCAAAACUGACGAGCUAGAGUAUGGUAGAGGGUGGUGGAAUUUCCUGUGUAGCGGUGAAAUGCGUAGAUAUAGGAAGGAACACCAGUGGCGAAGGCGACCACCUGGACUGAUACUGACACUGGAGGUGCGAAAGCGUGGGGAGCAAACAGG